CGUCAUUCCAUUCGGUAAGUGUUCAGGUAGCUCAGAGGAAUUUUUUACGUCUGACGUCAUUUUCUCUACGAUCGAUAGAUAGCACAUACACACACAUAUCGAGAAUCUUAAAUAUUUUUCUUCAAGGACUUUGAUAAGAUGAGAUUGCACUUUUCUUCAACCAGUAAUUUGUUAUCACUGUCGUGUCGUGAUCGACCGGCUGAAAUCAACAGCGUAAUUAGUUUUGUCAGCUUUUUUAAAGCUGUUGAAAAGAUGAAUUUGGGAUGCACGAUUCGCUUUUGAUGGGAUUGUAAAGAAUCCAACGAGAAUGCAGAACACGUGCUUGUGGUU